rnacentral:tRNA from 1 species
GGGGGUAUAGCUCAGUGGUAGAGCACAUGCUUAACAUGUGUGAGGUCCUGGGUUCAAUCCCCAGUACCUGUG